UUCUCCUGGAAACGGGUGGUAAUGCCGGAUGCUCCGACUCCUCGCAUGGGGUGUCGGGAAAGAUUUCAUCGGUAUGGGAUGGGGUCGCGUCCUAUCAGGUAGUCGGCGGGGUAACGGCCCACCGAGCCUACGACGGGUAGCCGGCCUGAGAGGGCGACCGGCCACAUUGGGACUGAGAUACGGCCCAGACUCCUACGGGAGGCAGCAGUGGGGAAUAUUGCACAAUGGGCGCAAGCCUGAUGCAGCGACGCCGCGUGCGGGAUGACGGCCUUCGGGUUGUAAACCGCUUUUGAUCGGGAGCAAGCCUUCGGGUGAGUGUACCUUUCGAAUAAGCACCGGCUAACUACGUGCCAGCAGCCGCGGUAAUACGUAGGGUGCAAGCGUUAUCCGGAAUUAUUGGGCGUAAAGGGCUCGUAGGCGGUUCGUCGCGUCCGGUGUGAAAGUCCAUCGCUUAACGGUGGAUCUGCGCCGGGUACGGGCGGGCUGGAGUGCGGUAGGGGAGACUGGAAUUCCCGGUGUAACGGUGGAAUGUGUAGAUAUCGGAAAGAACACCAAUA
rnacentral:rRNA from 1 species